rnacentral:rRNA from 1 species
AACGAACGUUGGCGGCGUGCUUAACACAUGCAAGUCGAACGCGAAAGGGACUUCGGUCCUGAGUAGAGUGGCGCACGGGUGAGUAACGCGUAAGUAAUCUACCCUCGCAUCAGGAAUAACUAUGGGAAGCUGUAGCUAAUACCGGAUACGUUCUCCUAUUUACGGACUGGAGAAGAAAGAUGGCCUCUUCAUGAAAGCUAUCGUGCAGGGAGGAGCUUGCGUACCAUUAGCUAGUUGGUAGGGUAAUGGCCUACCAAGGCGACGAUGGUUAGCGGGUCUGAGAGGAUGAUCCGCCACACUGGAACUGAAACACGGACCAGACUCCUACGGGAGGCAGCAGUGAGGAAUAUUGCGCAAUGGGGGAAACCCUGACGCAGCGACGCCGCGUGGAUGAUGAAGGCCUUAGGGUCGUAAAAUCCUGUCAGGUGGGAAGAAGUGGUUAUAGAUUAAUACUCUAUUUCUUUGACGGUACCACCAAAGGAAGCACCGGCUAACUCCGU